GCGACUUGCGAGAGAGAUGGCUACGUGGGGUGGAGUCAGAUAUAUGAAAUCAUGGCUACAUUUCUUUCGAAAGUGCGAAGGUUCGGCCUCAAGAACCUUCAAGAUGGUCGGGGGUACUCCUUUGACGGGAAAACUCUUGCUUGUUCCUGCGAUAUUAACUUCUAGCGCUCUUUGCUACCUUGCGGCGAGGCGGCACAAAUUUGGCGCAGUCUACGCCCUCAAAAGACAGAAGGACGUGCUGGAGUCGUCGGCUCUGAAGCUGACGUCCCGCGAGCGGCGCUUCAUCAAGUUCGCCUCCGUGGAGCACCAGGGUCAGCUGUACAUGACCACGCAGGACUUUAUCGAGAGCAUCACCGAGGCUGAGCCCAGGCCUCGCCUGAAGCGGCGCAUCCUGCUCCCCCGGGACCUGGACCACUUCUACGCCGUGACGCCGCGGGCCAGCAAGAGCACCACGCACAUGUUCCGAGACCUGCACGACACGGGCAUCAUAUCGUACACCGAGUACCUGUUUCUGCUCUCCGUUCUCACGAAGCCGGCCACGGGGUUCCGGAUCGCCUUCAACAUGUUCGAUACGGACGGCAACGAGCGUGUUAGCCGAACAGAGUUCCUCGUGAUAUUGCGUCUGAUGGCACUAAACAUGCUCGAGGAGCUGCGCGUAACGUUAUCAGACGAGGAGGACUACCAGCGCACGCGCGCCGCCCUGGAGAAGAUAUUCAGCCACGCUCGGCGGGAGCGUCGCGGCUCCGGCGGCGCCACCGACGCUGAAGGUUCAUGGAGAACCUCCAGGAGGAGGUGCUGGAGAUCGAGUUUCAGGAGUUCGCCAAGGGCUACCACAAGAUCAGCGAGGUCGAGUUCGCCAAGAUCCUGCUGCGCUACACCUACCUGCGGCCAGACCAGUACGACCUCUACAUUGACCGGCUGGUGGAGCGGAUGGAGGAGACGUCGUUGCGGGGCGUCACGUUCGAGGAGUUCAGGGACUUCUGCAGCUUCCUCAACCAGCUGGAGGACUUUGCCAUCGCCAUGCGCAUGUACACGAUGGCCGACCAGCCCAUCUCACAAGAGGAGUUCCACCGCGCCGUGCGGAUCUUUACCGGCAAGGCGCCCUGACCGAGUGACCCGCCACCCACAGAGGAGUUCCACCGCGCCGUGCGGAUCUGCACCGGCAAGGCGCUCUCGGACCACGUGGUAGACACCGUGUUCUGCAUCUUCGACGAGGACGGCGACGGACAGCUGAGCUACAAGGAGUUCAUCGGCUUCAUGAAGGAGCGCCGCCAGCGCGGCUUCAAGACAACACCACGCACCACCGGCUGGCAGGCGUUCAAGUACUGCGUCAAACAGGAGAUGCGCACCUCGACCUAGGUGGACCGGACUACCUGUGCUCGACCUGGGUCACUGCGGCUGCUGACCUGUGCUCGACCUAGGUCAGCCGCCGCGACUGCCGACCUCUGCUGGACUCGGGUUGACCGCUGACCUGUGCUCGACUCGGGUCGGCCGCUGACCUGUGCUCGACUCGGGUCGGCCGCUGACCUCUGCCCAGUGCCCGGCGGGUCGGCGCCCGGCCAGUCGGGUCGCUUCCCGUUCCGGCUCCGGCUCCGGUCACGCUCCCUGUGUCUCCCUGAGCUGUUCUGGUCAGUGUGAGUACUGUGUGGGCGGCCGCUCUCUGUGUCUCCCCUGAGCUGUUCUGGUCAGUGACAGUGAUGUGUGUGGGACGGUCGACCGCUCCCUGUGUCUCCCUGAGCUGUUCUGGUCAGUGACAGUGAUGUGUGCGGGACGGUUGACCGCUCUGUGUCUCCCUGAGCUGUUCUGGUCAGUGACAGUGAUGUGUGUGGCUGCGGACUGGACCCCAUGGCCCCGUACCGCCGGUCCGGCCGUCUCAGUCAGUCAGUCAGUCAGUCUGUCCGUCUCGGGGCCGCGUGUGGUGUGCUGAUUAACCCGAGUGGGAUCGACUCCGCGGCGCGGCAAUCUGUGUUAUCCUGUCCCGCCGCCGGCGGUCUGUGUCGCGGUAGUUACACCUCAGCUAUAUAGAGCGGCCCGCUACAGGGUCGCGGAGUAUCGCCGGCCGUCAGACUAGCUGCUGGCACACAGUCCUCAAUGUGCUCUGGUUGUGUUCAAACUCAGUGGUGCUCUAGGGAUUCUGUUUGCUGGGAGGGGCGGAUCAGUGUACCUGGUAGGGCCCCCACACCCGUGUGAUCCUUGUGUUAGGAGCGUGUGUGCUUGUGGCGGGUUGGGGUUCCAGUUGAGAAUGGCGACCUGAGGAUGGUAGGGCCCCUUCGAGUGACGGCCCUCAGUUGGGCUACGAGGUGGAGUGGCUGUUCCACAUCGGAUGGCCGCCCGACCCGAUGUGGAAUUUAGUGCGUUGAAGCGUCCCCCGCUGGUUGAGUCAGUGUGUUUGAGGAUUGUCACUCGCUGUUGGAGUCAGUGUGUUAAAGGAGCGUCCCCCGCUAUUGGAGUCAAUGUACAUGGAGUGGAGGAUUGUCACCCGGCGCUGGAGUCGCUUUGUUGGCUCGCCAUUUGAGUCGUUGUGUGUGUGUGUGUGAGUCGCGGGUGCUUCUCUCGGAGACCGGCCGCUGUGUUUGUUGUUUGCCGGCGGGCGGUGACCGCUCGUUGGCGUGUGUUUGAAGAGCGCCGCUGUUGGAGCCGCGCGGUGCCGACUCGUCUGUGUGAGGUGCCGAGCCGUGGACUCGGCGGGCGGGCACACGCCCCCGGUCAGUCAGUGCAGACCGCCGCGCCCGGCCGCGCCAAUGGCCAUAUUGUUACAUUGUUCCCAGAGCGCGGUAUUGGAUCGUUGUUAGCACUAACCCACUGUCGUAAGAUCAAGUGAAGCCAGUCUGCGCGCCGCGCUUGCCUCAUCCAUCUUAUGAAUCGCCGCCGAGAUGUACCUUUUCUUGAGAUGUUGCAUGGUUUGUGAUCGCAAAGCGGAUGGUAAAUACACACGGGAAAUGUU
rnacentral:misc_RNA from 1 species